UACGGAGGGUGCAAACGUUGCUCGGAAUCAUUGGGCGUAAAGCGCACGUAGGCGGCGCGUUAAGUCGGGUGUGAAAGCCCUGGGCUCAACCCAGGAAGUGCAUUCGAAACUGGCGCGCUUGAAUAUGGAAGAGGGUCGCGGAAUUCCCGGUGUAGAGGUGAAAUUCGUAGAUAUCGGGAGGAGCACCAGUGGCGAAGGCGGCGACCUGGGCCAAUAUUGACGCUGAGGUGCGAAAGCGUGGGGAGCAAACAGG
rnacentral:rRNA from 1 species